GACGAACGCUGGCGGCGUGCUUAACACAUGCAAGUCGAACGGAAAGGCCCUGCUUUUGUGGGGUGCUCGAGUGGCGAACGGGUGAGUAACACGUGAGUAUCCUGCCCUUGACUUUGGGAUAACUUCAGGAAACUGGGGCUAAUACCGGAUAGGAGCUCCUGCUGCAUGGUGGGGGUUGGAAAGUUUCGGCGGCUGGGGAUGGACUCGCGGCUUAUCAGCUUGUUGGUGGGGUAGUGGCUUACCAAGGCUUUGACGGGUAGCCGGCCUGAGAGGGUGACCGGCCACAUUGGGACUGAGAUACGGCCCAGACUCCUACGGGAGGCAGCAGUGGGGAAUAUUGCACAAUGGGCGGAAGCCUGAUGCAGCAACGCCGCGUGCGGGAUGACGGCCUUCGGGUUGUAAACCGCUUUCGCCUGUGACGAAGCGUGAGUGACGGUAAUGGGUAAAGAAGCACCGGCUAACUACGUGCCAGCAGCCGCGGUGAUACGUAGGGUGCGAGCGUUGUCCGGAUUUAUUGGGCGUAAAGGGCUCGUAGGUGGUUGAUCGCGUCGGAAGUGUAAUCUUGGGGCAUAACCCUGAGCGUGCUUUCGAUACGGGUUGACUUGAGGAAGGUAGGGGAGAAUGGAAUUCCUGGUGGAGCGGUGGAAUGCGCAGAUAUCAGGAGGAACACCAGUGGCGAAGGCGGUUCUCUGGGCCUUUCCUGACGCUGAGGAGCGAAAGCGUGGGGAGCGAACAGGCUUAGAUACCCUGGUAGUCCACGCUGUAAACGGUGGGUACUAGGUGUGGGGUCCAUUCCACGGGUUCCGUGCCGUAGCUAACGCUUUAAGUACCCCGCCUGGGGAGUACGGCCGCAAGGCUAAAACUCAAAGGAAUUGACGGGGCCCCGCACAAGCGGCGGAGCAUGCGGAUUAAUUCGAUGCAACGCGUAGAACCUUACCUGGGUUUGACAUGGAUCGGGAGUGCUCAGAGAUGGGUGUGCCUCUUUUGGGGUCGGUUCACAGGUGGUGCAUGGCUGUCGUCAGCUCGUGUCGUGAGAUGUUGGGUUAAGUCCCGCAACGAGCGCAACCCUUGUUCACUGUUGCCAGCACGUUAUGGUGGGGACUCAGUGGAGACCGCCGGGGUCAACUCGGAGGAAGGUGGGGAUGACGUCAAGUCAUCAUGCCCCUUAUGUCCAGGGCUUCACGCAUGCUACAAUGGCUGGUACAGAGAGUGGCGAGCCUGUGAGGGUGAGCGAAUCUCGGAAAGCCGGUCUCAGUUCGGAUUGGGGUCUGCAACUCGACCUCAUGAAGUCGGAGUCGCUAGUAAUCGCAGAUCAGCAACGCUGCGGUGAAUACGUUCCCGGG
rnacentral:rRNA from 1 species